rfam:Myotis brandtii contig187034, whole genome shotgun sequence.
AGCGGUUCUCAGGUGACACACCCCAGAAUUGGGCUCCCUCCUCUCUGGUUCGAGGUAUGUCACCCAAGAACUUCA